rnacentral:rRNA from 3 species
AAAUUGAAGAGUUUGAUCAUGGCUCAGAUUGAACGCUGGCGGCAGGCCUAACACAUGCAAGUCGAACGGUAACAGGAAGCAGCUUGCUGCUUCGCUGACGAGUGGCGGACGGGUGAGUAAUGUCUGGGAAACUGCCUGAUGGAGGGGGAUAACUACUGGAAACGGUGGCUAAUACCGCAUAACGUCGCAAGACCAAAGAGGGGGACCUUCGGGCCUCUUGCCAUCAGAUGUGCCCAGAUGGGAUUAGCUAGUUGGUGAGGUAACGGCUCACCAAGGCGAC